UGAACAAACCACUGGUGUAGCUGUUGUUCUGCCAAGAGCAUCGCAGCGUAGCUAAGUUUGGAAAGGAUAAACGCUGAAAGCAUCUAAGCGUGAAGCCAACUCUAAGAUGAAUCUUCUCUAAGCUCUCUAGAAGACUACUAGUUUGAUAGGCUGGGUGUGUAAUGGAUGAAAGUCCUUUAGCUGACCAGUACUAAUAGAGCGUUUGGCUUAUCUUU
rnacentral:rRNA from 1 species